rnacentral:rRNA from 1 species
GACGAACGCUGGCGGCGUGCUUAACACAUGCAAGUCGAACGAAGUGGCGAACGGGUGAGUAACGCGUAAUCAACCUGCCCUUCAGAGGGGGACAACAGUUGGAAACGACUGCUAAUACCGCAUACUGAAGGAGGGGAUUGCGUCGGAUUAGCUAGUUGGAGGGGUAACGGCCCACCAAGGCGAGGAUCAGUAGCCGGGCUGGGAGGAUGAACGGCCACAUUGGGACUGAGACACGGCCCAGACUCCUACGGGAUGCAGCAGUGGGGAAGCUUUCGCAAUGGACGAAAGUCUGUCGGAGUCACUCCCGGGGAGUGAUGACGGCUUUCGGGUUGUAAAGCUCUUUUAAUCGGGACGCGGUACCGGAAUAGAAAGCCACGGCUAACUACGUGCCAGCAGCCGCGGUAAUUC